rnacentral:rRNA from 1 species
AGUGAACGCUGGCGGUAGGCCUAACACAUGCCAGUCGAACGGCAGCACAGUAAGAGCUUGCUCUUACGGGUGGCGAGUGGCGGACGGGUGAGGAAUACAUCGGAAUCUACUUUUUCGUGGGGGAUAACGUAGGGAAACUUACGCUAAUACCGCAUACGACCUACGGUUGAAAGCAGUGGAUCUUCGGACCUUGCGCGAUUGAAUGAGCCGAUGUCGGAUUAGCUAGUUGGCGGGGUAAAGGCCCACCCAGGCGACGAUCCGUAGCUGGUCUGAGAGGAUGAUCAGCCACACUGGAACUGAGACACGGUCCAGACUCCUACGGGAGGCAGCAGUGGGGAAUAUUGGACAAUGGGCGCAAGCCUGAUCCAGCCAUACCGCGUGGGUGAAGAAGGCCUUCGGGUUGUAAAGCCCUUUUGUUGGGAAAGAAAAGCAGCAGGUUAAUACCCCGCUGUUCUGACGGUACCCAAAGAAUAAGCACCGGCUAACUUCGUG